rnacentral:rRNA from 1 species
GACGUAGGGCGCGAGCGUUGUCCGGAUUUAUUGGGCGUAAAGAGCUCGUAGGCGGCUUGUCGCGUCGUCCGUGAAAACCCACAGCUCAACUGUGGGCUUGCGGUCGAUACGGGCAGGCUAGAGUUCGGUAGGGGAGACUGGAAUUCCUGGUGUAGCGGUGAAAUGCGCAGAUAUCAGGAGGAACACCGGUGGCGAAGGCGGGUCUCUGGGCCGAUACUGACGCUGAGGCGCGAAAGCGUGGGGAGCAAACAGG